rnacentral:rRNA from 1 species
UACGAAGGGGGGCUAGCGUUGUUCGGAAUUACUGGGCGUAAAGCGCACGUAGGCGGCUUUGCAAGUUAGAGGUGAAAGCCCGGGGCUCAACUCCGGAAUUGCCUUUAAAACUGCAUCGCUAGAAUUGUGGAGAGGUAAGUGGAAUUCCGAGUGUAGAGGUGAAAUUCGUAGAUAUUCGGAAGAACACCAGUGGCGAAGGCGACUUACUGGACACAUAUUGACGCUGAGGUGCGAAAGCGUGGGGAGCAAACAGG